AUUGAACGCUGGCGGCAGGCCUAACACAUGCAAGUCGAACGGUAACAGAAAGCAGCUUGCUGCUUUGCUGACGAGUGGCGGACGGGUGAGUAAUGUCUGGGAAACUGCCUGAUGGAGGGGGAUAACUACUGGAAACGGUAGCUAAUACCGCAUAACGUCGCAAGACCAAAGAGGGGGACCUUCGGGCCUCUUGCCAUCGGAUGUGCCCAGAUGGGAUUAGCUAGUAGGUGGGGUAAAGGCUCACCUAGGCGACGAUCCCUAGCUGGUCUGAGAGGAUGACCAGCCACACUGGAACUGAGACACGGUCCAGACUCCUACGGGAGGCAGCAGUGGGGAAUAUUGCACAAUGGGCGGAAGCCUGAUGCAGCCAUGCCGCGUGUAUGAAGAAGGCCUUCGGGUUGUAAAGUACUUUCAGCGGGGAGGAAGGGAGUAAAGUUAAUACCUUUGCUCAUUGACGUUACCCGCAGAAGAAGCACCGGCUAACUCCGUG
rnacentral:rRNA from 1 species